AGUGACCUCUGACCCCUGAGUGACUCCUGAGUGACCACUGAUGACCCCUGAGUGACCCCUGAGUGACCCCUGAGUGACCACAAGGAGCGGUCACUGUGUGACCCCUGACCCGACCUGGGCAGAUUUUUCCAUUAAAAAAGGGAAAUUUUGGGUUUUUUCA